CGUAGGGUGCAAGCGUUGUCCGGAAUUAUUGGGCGUAAAGAGCUCGUAGGCGGUCUGUUGCGUCGGCUGUGAAAACCCGGGGCUCAACUCCGGGCCUGCAGCCGAUACGGGCAGACUAGAGUUCGGCAGGGGAGACUGGAAUUCCUGGUGUAGCGGUGAAAUGCGCAGAUAUCAGGAGGAACACCGGUGGCGAAGGCGGGUCUCUGGGCCGAUACUGACGCUGAGGAGCGAAAGCGUGGGGAGCGAACAGGAUUAGAUACCCUGGUAGUCCACGCCGUAAACGUUGGGCGCUAGGUGUGGGUUCCCUUCCACGGGAUCCGUGCCGCAGCUAACGCAUUAAGCGCCCCGCCUGGGAAGUACGGCCGCAAGGCUA
rnacentral:rRNA from 1 species